CCCCCCCCCCCCCCCCCCCCCCCCCCACCGGCCGCCCCCAGCCCAGCCUCUCAGGAUGCCACUUUUGAGAUCAAAUCAACAAAUUCCAACUCAAAAUCUGGCCUUGUCCUCCUAACUGAGGGGCUUUGGAGAGAGGGGAGGUGAUGGAUGCAGGGAUUUGAAGGAGACAGAGAAAGUUACAGCUGGGUUCCCCCUGGGUUUGUGAAUUGGUGUUUUGUUUUGAAAAGGUGGAUAUUUUCACCCUCCUGAGAGCUGCUGCUUUUAGGAAAAGCCUUGUUUUCAUCCAAAUGUCUCUCUUUUCAUCCAAAUGUCAGGUGAGAAGAAAUCCCAGGGUAUAAGCAGGAACCCCUCUAAGAAGAGAGGAAGGUUUUGGGAACCCAGCCUUGACCUGCAGAGGCAGGUCUGCAGGUUUAAUCCAAGGAAGGGAUCCAAGACAAGGAAGUAAGCAGAAUACUGUUGUUUUACAAUCCAGAAAGAAAAUAGGGAUCAAGAGCCCAGCUUUGUCAGUGAGUGAAAUUAGUCUUUGGAAUGUGAGAUCUGUAAUUAUGAAACUGCCUGAGAUACAGGUUAUUGAAAAAACCCCAGGUCUUCAGUGCCUCAACAAAUAGACUCUCCUAUGGAAACACAUGAAAAACAGAUUUUUUUUUUUAACUUUGUUGUACUUCCUUCUUAUACAAAACCAUUAAUAUUUGGAGCCAAUUGCACCAGGGAUCCAAACUACUCAUUUCUGUCUGUAGCAUACUCUCAGUAAAAAUGGAGUUUACACUUCAAUAGCUUGCUUUCUUUCAUUACUCCUUUUAAUAUCAUGUCUUGGCCUCCUGUGGUGGCUUCCACAUUCG
rnacentral:lncRNA from 12 species